rnacentral:rRNA from 1 species
AUUGAACGCUGGCGGCAGGCCUAACACAUGCAAGUCGAGCGGAUGAAGGGAGCUUGCUCCUGGAUUCAGCGGCGGACGGGUGAGUAAUGCCUAGGAAUCUGCCUGGUAGUGGGGGAUAACGUCCGGAAACGGGCGCUAAUACCGCAUACGUCCUGAGGGAGAAAGUGGGGGAUCUUCGGACCUCACGCUAUCAGAUGAGCCUAGGUCGGAUUAGCUAGUUGGUGGGGUAAAGGCCUACCAAGGCGACGAUCCGUAACUGGUCUGAGAGGAUGAUCAGUCACACUGGAACUGAGACACGGUCCAGACCCCUACGGGAGGCAGCAGUGGGGAAUAUUGGACAAAGGGCGAAAGCCUGAUCCAGCCAUGCCGCGUGUGUGAAGAAGGUCUUCGGAUUGUAAAGCACUUUAAGUUGGGAGGAAGGGCAGUAAGUUAAUACCUUGCUGUCUUGACGUUACCAACAGAAUAAGCACCGGCUAACUUCGUG